GGAGAACACUGUACAACCGAUAACUAGUUUGUCCCAAAAAAAAAAGACAAAAAAGUAAAUGAGGUGAUUGGAUAAACAAACUAAAGACUAAUUUAUCAUCCUUCUGCUCUGAGUGAGCUUUACAAGUAUAAAUUCAGAAUAAUGAAAGGGCAAAAAAUUAAAGCUAUAAUUGUUAUUAGAGAAAUAAUAAAAAAAAGGACCCCAAAAACUAACAGAAGAACAGCACUACAGAAGAUAGGAAUAGGCUCGCCUAAACCUAUUAUUGGAAUAUGCUUUCCACACUGCAAAACAAGGAACUACACUCAAACAAGUAAAGGUUAAACAGAAAGGCAUGAACGGAAAUCCAAUCCAUAAGCCAGCCUAGGUUGCCAAUUGAAUUCACAGUCCCUAUCACAGAUCAAAGGAUGAAAUUUCAGAACAUUUAGUAAAGUAUCCACGAUGCAACCAAUCAGCAGCUUCACUCAGUACAUUCAACAAUCAACCGCCCAAAUAUCCCUCCACUUUAACCAGAAACAAAACCCACCUAACGCCAUCCAUCAAAAACCUCAAACAAUAAAAAAAUCACUACAAAUGGCAAAACAAAUAAAAAAAAAACCGCAACCGAGAGAACAAAAAAUGAAACCGCAAUAAACUCGUCCAAGGUGCACUAAAAAGCAAUCUGGAUUUUCUAGAAAGGCAAAAGAUAAAGAUAGCAGCUUGAUACCCGAUACUAGUUUCAAUUGCUUCAAUGGAGUGAAUGCCAUGCUUCGGAGCAGCGCAGGUGACAAUUUUGAAAAAGCCGUUGGAAUUCCAUCGAUGGGUUGGAGGGGGGAAAAGGGAAAAGGGUUUUGAGGAAUCCGAAGGAGGAAGAAGAAGAAGAGUCAGUGAAGCAGAGGCUGAAACAACCGUAAUUAUGUUUUUAUCUA
rnacentral:lncRNA from 1 species